GACGAACGCUGGCGGCGUGCUUAACACAUGCAAGUCGAACGGAAAGGCCCUGCUUUUGUGGGGUGCUCGAGUGGCGAACGGGUGAGUAACACGUGAGUAACCUGCCCUUGACUUUGGGAUAACUUCAGGAAACUGGGGCUAAUACCGGAUAGGAGCUCCUGCUGCAUGGUGGGGGUUGGAAAGUUUCGGCGGUUGGGGAUGGACUCGCGGCUUAUCAGCUUGUUGGUGGGGUAGUGGCUUACCAAGGCUUUGACGGGUAGCCGGCCUGAGAGGGUGACCGGCCACAUUGGGACUGAGAUACGGCCCAGACUCCUACGGGAGGCAGCAGUGGGGAAUAUUGCACAAUGGGCGGAAGCCUGAUGCAGCAACGCCGCGUGCGGGAUGACGGCCUUCGGGUUGUAAACCGCUUCCGCCUGUGACGAAGCGUGAGUGACGGUAAUGGGUAAAGAAGCACCGGCUAACUACGUGCCAGCAGCCGCGGUGAUACGUAGGGUGCGAGCGUUGUCCGGAUUUAUUGGGCGUAAAGGGCUCGUAGGUGGUUGAUCGCGUCGGAAGUGUAAUCUUGGGGCUUAACCCUGAGCGUGCUUUCGAUACGGGUUGACUUGAGGAAGGUAGGGGAGAAUGGAAUUCCUGGUGGAGCGGUGGAAUGCGCAGAUAUCAGGAGGAACACCAGUGGCGAAGGCGGUUCUCUGGGCCUUUCCUGACGCUGAGGAGCGAAAGCGUGGGGAGCGAACAGGCUUAGAUACCCUGGUAGUCCACGCUGUAAACGGUGGGUACUAGGUGUGGGGUCCAUUCCACGGGUUCCGUGCCGUAGCUAACGCUUUAAGUACCCCGCCUGGGGAGUACGGCCGCAAGGCUAAAACUCAAAGGAAUUGACGGGGCCCCGCACAAGCGGCGGAGCAUGCGGAUUAAUUCGAUGCAACGCGUAGAACCUUACCUGGGUUUGACAUGGAUCGGGAGCGCUCAGAGAUGGGUGUGCCUCUUUUGGGGUCGGUUCACAGGUGGUGCAUGGCUGUCGUCAGCUCGUGUCGUGAGAUGUUGGGUUAAGUCCCGCAACGAGCGCAACCCUUGUUCACUGUUGCCAGCACGUUAUGGUGGGGACUCAGUGGAGACCGCCGGGGUCAACUCGGAGGAAGGUGGGGAUGACGUCAAGUCAUCAUGCCCCUUGUGUCCAGGGCUUCACGCAUGCUACAAUGGCUGGUACAGAGAGUGGCGAGCCUGUGAGGGUGAGCGAAUCUCGGAAAGCCGGUCUCAGUUCGGAUUGGGGUCUGCAACUCGACCUCAUGAAGUCGGAGUCGCUAGUAAUCGCAGAUCAGCAACGCUGCGGUGAAUACGUUCCCGGGGCU
rnacentral:rRNA from 1 species